UACGUAGGGUGCAAGCGUUAAUCGGAAUUACUGGGCGUAAAGCGUGCGCAGGCGGUAAUGUAAGACAGUUGUGAAAUCCCCGGGCUCAACCUGGGAACUGCAUCUGUGACUGCAUUGCUGGAGUACGGCAGAGGGGGAUGGAAUUCCGCGUGUAGCAGUGAAAUGCGUAGAUAUGCGGAGGAACACCGAUGGCGAAGGCAGCCCCCUGGGCUGACACUGACGCUCAGGCACGAAAGCGUGGGGAGCAAACAGG
rnacentral:rRNA from 1 species